rnacentral:rRNA from 1 species
AUUGAACGCUGGCGGCAGGCCUAACACAUGCAAGUCGAACGGUAACAGAAAGCAGCUUGCUGCUUUGCUGACGAGUGGCGGACGGGUGAGUAAAGUCUGGGAAACUGCCUGAUGGAGGGGGAUAACUACUGGAAACGGUAGCUAAUACCGCAUAACGUCGCAAGACCAAAGAGGGGGACCUUCGGGCCUCUUGCCAUCGGAUGUGCCCAGAUGGGAUUAGCUAGUAGGUGGGGUAAAGGCUCACCUAGGCGACGAUCCCUAGCUGGUCUGAGAGGAUGACCAGCCACACUGGAACUGAGACACGGUCCAGACUCCUACGGGAGGCAGCAGUGGGGAAUAUUGCACAAUGGGCGCAAGCCUGAUGCAGCCAUGCCGCGUGUAUGAAGAAGGCCUUCGGGUUGUAAAGUACUUUCAGCGGGGAGGAAGGGAGUAAAGUUAAUACCUUUGCUCAUUGACGUUACCCGCAGAAGAAGCACCGGCUAACUCCGUG